rnacentral:ncRNA from 1 species
ACACGAACUUAUAUAAUAUCUGAGAUAGGGUCAGAAAGUUUCUACCGGAUAACCGUAAAUCGUCCGACUAUAAGUUUUUUUAUG